AAGAACUGAAGGAGAAGCUCAAAGCUAAGGAACGUGAGUUUGAGCGCAUAUGUGAAAAUCAUUUAACUGAAGAACUGAAGGAGAAGCUCAAAGCUAAGGAUCGUGAGGUUGAGGCUCAGGAUAAGAUGAUAAGUAACCUCAAAAAGAAACUGAAGAAAAAGUAAAAGACUUACCGUUUAAUCAUCAUCCGUAUCAGAUACUAUUUUAUUCCAAAUUUUUAUUUUUAUCAGUUGAGAAACUCGACAGAUUUUGUAUUGUAUUCGAUGAAACCAGUGCACACCAAACUAUUUAUUUUGAUAUCUUAAGGUGAAGAAAGAAUAUGAAGUGAAAACUCAGCCUAUUCGUUUUAAAUCCUUCAACGAGUUGCUGAUACCAUCAAAAGCUUUUGAUUCUUGUUUCUUACUAGAGGGUAGAGGCCGAGUCUGACCACAGUGUCCUCUUUGAUGCCCACUGUUAUUUCUAAAGGCGAGUUUAUGAUCCAGCUGUUUACAAGUAAAAAAGAUUGCAAAGUCAAGAUGAGAUUGUGAUGAGAGUUUUGCACUUAUUUUGCUUAGUAGAAGAAGAAACUUACCCAGGUGGGACCUUGCUAUCAGCUCUGGAAGGAUCCUUGACCAAGGACAAAGGACUAUCAUCAAUGUUGGUUUAUCAUCAACAGAUUCCUUCCAAAGCAACCUUGAGUUUCAACACAAACCCUGACCAUUCCAUCUUGCAUAAAUCGCAGUCUUGGUGGCAUAAGGGAGAUUAAAAACGUGCCACCCCACAAGUUGCCAGAUGAAUCAGAACUAGGACCCUGGAUUGGCAUUGACAAAGGGUUGCCUUGUUGAUUCGUCUUCAAGACUCUGAUGAUAACUCAUCAGCAUUACCAGAGUGAGCACGGAUAAAGCACCAAACCAUUUCACAUUCUGAAUCUCAUCGAAGAGCUCCAUGCUAUGCAUGUUGCUAUCAUCAGCAAUCCCAUCUAACUUCUCCUCUAUCACGAAAGUCGAGUCUACCUCAACCUAGACGGCUGUGCUUAUGGUGGUUCUGGGUCCAGGGCCCUCUACAGAUUACAAUAUCCAUAGCCUCCUCCUCUCCUCAAACUAGAAUCUCGCCAAAUAACUACAUGUCAUGUUUUUGAUCAAUAAAAAAAAAACUUACAUGUCAUGUUAAAUUAUUCAUUUUAUUGUUCCGAAGAAUGUUUAUUUGUUAUUUUAUUUCUCUCUGUUUCUGAAUGUUUGAUCAAAUGAAUGAAUUGUCAUGGGGGUUAUUUAUAAGAUGUAACCAGGAUUACAAAAAUACCAGUCGUCUACGUAUGUAUGUAGUAUAAAUUAAUCACACGCCCGGUUACAGUUGAAUUUAGUAAUUUUAUUAUCUAAUAUACAAUAAAUUAUAUAAAAAGGUUCAAUUCUUACCAUUUAAAAGUUUUUUAAUAUUUAUUUGUUAUUUUAUAAAAUUUUAAACUUUAAUCCCAAAUAUUCAACCCUCAACUACUAGCUCUAAAUCAUAAAGUUAGGGAUGUAAGUGUAUAUUCAUAUUUUUAAUAAAAGAUUAGGGUCAUUUUUGAUGCUCGGAGAUAAGAGUAUUAAUAAAGAAAAGGGCAUAAUGGUAAUUAAAAGAUGAAGCAACCGCCAAGAAAUCUAUUAUAUAAUAGGAGAGUUUCUCUCCUCCUGAUGCGACACGUCAGCAGUUUGUGGGUCCUACUUUUUAAAAGUGCGAAAAAAUGUCAAAUAUGUGAUUUGAACUCGGGUUACUGAGAUAUAAGCACCCACAACUAUACCAUUGCACUAAAGGAUACUUUGUACAUUGAUGGUCGAAACUAAUAUAUAUUAUAAAGGUCGGAAACUAAUAUAACAUUCUGGACCCUACUUUUUUUUUUUUAAUUGAUGGGUAACGAAUGGACUUCGACAAAAAGUGGGUUUUGGGCUUAUUGAUUUUCUGUUUAUUAGGCUUUGUAUCUGCCCAAAGUGGUGAUACGGACAAAGCUAAGAAGAUUAGGGAAGCCGCCAUCUUCACCAUCUCCUUCGUCGCUUGCGAUUCCCCUUUCGGCAAUCAGCUAUUAUGGUCGAUCUUUAAGGCUUUACGCACGUUUUGCGCCUACCAAACGCUUAGUUUCUCCUCUAAUGCCUUCAGAGCUCUCAUAUAUAUAGAAUCCCUCGAGGUAAAAGCUCCAUCUUGUCUCAAACUUUUCUUUCUCAGUUUUCCGAUCGCUUUACUUUCUCACAUCCGUCACGAAAAAUGACUUAUCCAGCUGCUCCAGCCGCUUUAGCCGCCGUUCCCUACUCCACCUUCAACUCUCUCCGCCUUGGAAGGUCCACUCAGUCCAUUGUUGGUCGGUUCAUCCGAUUCUAGGAUUCCAGGAACAUUAACAAGAAUGCAGAGUUUAUGGGCAUCACCAUUCUCCUCUUUGAUGAACUGGUGAUGAUUGUUUCUAACUUAUUUUUUAUCACUUUAACUCUGCUUUGCUUAUUCUUUGUUCAUAUAUGAAACGUGUCUUCAUUUUUUUGUUUUGGUUUUGUCUAUGGGUUUUUUUAUUAACAACUUAUGAUUUUUCUCUGUUUUUCUUACAGAUUCUGUGAUCUACGGUUUCAUCCCUGCAAUCUCCAAACAAAAUAGGAAAACUGAAUGAAUUAUGUUUUUAGCAACCGAAUUUAAAAGAAAUAAAAGACAUCUUACUUAACAAAUUAAAACCUUUUCUUUUGCAGAUUCCAACGACGACGAAGCACCCGAGGACCAACGACAAUGGAAUGAUGCGGACGAAGCCUAACUGAUGUAAGUAAACUCCUCUUCAAUAACGCAUCACACUAUUAUCGCUCCCCAAUCUCACAAACUUAAGCUCUAAUCAUGCCAGGGAUCCCACAGGUGAUGCUGUCCCGACGACGGAGAAAAAAAAAGAAAGAUAACCUAACGUUUUUUUAUUUUCAGUUUUUAAGUUCAAAUCAUGUUUUAGACAUAGAGCCCAACAUAAUUUGAGCCCAAACAUUUUAAACCCACAAUUACUUUUUCAUAAUGUAAAAACGUCAACCUUCGUUUAUGUUUUGUUAAACUAUUUUAAUCUUUAUGUUUUGUUAAACUAUUUCACACAGGGGGCAGAUCUCCUUAGAAGGGGAGCCACUCGCCACGAUGCUUCCAGUUUCACCAUUCUUGAAACUCUUAUGAACCACAAAGCCAAUAUAAGAGCUCUGUUUCAAUCCAACCUAUUUUAGUUGGUCACGGUUUGCACUAUUGUCUUCAAGGUUAGCUAGCUAGCAAGACUCUCCAAAAUUGUCUCUUUAUAGUUUUUAUUGUGCUUACGCGUUAGUUUCUGUGAUCAUAGUGUUGAAGGUAGAUCAUGCGAGAGUAAUCGAUACCUCUCUUGUCUUCAAUUAUACCGGUGCCUACAGUUCUCGAACACCUUCUUUGUUAAAUCUAUGCAAGGCAAGCUUGUGAACCCUUUAUUACUAACUUGGAGUUAAGUAUAACAUUUUGAUAAAUCCUGUUGUGGUGUAAUUGCUCCAGUCUGUUUUGGAUGAGGAGCUGCGAAUGGAGGGUGCUGCUCACAAUUGCGUUCACGACGCUGCCGCUGCUAUGAAGCUUGUGCUUGCUGUUGUGGAGAAAGGAGCAGAGACCUCGUUCCCACCAACUGAAAAAGUAAGACUGUUACUAUUCAACUAAAUUCCAAUUUUUUUUAAAAAAAAAUGUGUAUAUAGUUUUCUGAAACGCAAUGCAUCCAUAUCAGAUGUUGGAGGUUGAGAAGACAAUGCAGGAGGCGAAGAAGGCAAGUCUCUAUCUUCAUAGGAUCCCUCAUAGUGUUCCUUCUGAAGAGUUAAAUGGAGUUAUUACGGGAGAUUUCAAAGUCGAGGUUAAGGUAAUGGUUAUUGUAUACCCCACCCCAAUAUGCUAAUGUAAUGUUUUCCUUCUCACUAGGAAACUGAGGAUCAUGUUUUGUUUUUUUUGGGCAGCCACCAAAGAAUCUAGGACCUUAUUAUAGCGCAGAAGUUGUUUUUAGUAGUCAAGAGGAAGCAAAUCAAGCAUUUGAUAACGUUGAUGGAGAUAUAGUUGAGGUAUUUUGGAUCAUCUCUCUCUCUCUCUCUCUCUCUGCUCAUGUUCAGGAUCUGUAGCAAUCUUUAGAAAACCUAUAUGAUAUGUGUAUGCCAUCUCUUUCUUUCAGGAAAAAAUGGGUUUGUCACAAAAAAUGGUUGAGUUUAAGAUGAUGAGUUCUGGAUCAGUAUCUAGACUAUACAUUCGUAAAAAUGUUCAAGACAGUGAAGUCUCUGCCAAGAAGAGAAGUAACACAGAGGAGAUCAAAGUGAGUUCUAAGAGACAGAAGAGGGAGAAUGAUGCUGAGGAGAUAAGAGAAGAGAGUGUAAACCAUUGCAGCAGCCGAGAGAGCAAAUGUGAAAAUCAUAUAAAGGAAAUUGAAGAACUGAAGGAGAAUCAUAGAAAGGAAAUUGAAGAACUGAAGGAGAAUCACAUAAAGGAAACUGAAGAACUGAAGGAGAAGCUCAAAGCUAAGGAACGUGAGUUUGAGCGCAUAUGUGAAAAUCAUUUAACUGAAGAACUGAAGGAGAAGCUCAAAGCUAAGGAUCGUGAGGUUGAGGCUCAGGAUAAGAUGAUAAGUAACCUCAAAAAGAAACUGAAGAAAAAGUAAAAGACUUACCGUUUAAUCAUCAUCCGUAUCAGAUACUAUUUUAUUCCAAAUUUUUAUUUUUAUCAGUUGAGAAACUCGACAGAUUUUGUAUUGUAUUCGAUGAAACCAGUGCACACCAAAC
rnacentral:lncRNA from 1 species